GAUGGCUCAGUGGUAGAGUGCUUGCCUUGCAUGCAUGAGGCCCUGGGUUUGAUUCCUCAGCAUCA
rfam:Dipodomys ordii contig_59934, whole genome shotgun sequence.